CGGUUCAGUUAAAUUCAUUGGUUAGAACGUCCGCCUCGGAUGCGGGAGGUCGUGGGUUCGAACCUCGGCCGA